GGCUUGCCCCAUUCAUCCGGAUCAUGGCCGCGACUUAGAUGGAAAGCCCCGGAUAAUCCGCGGAUUGGUUCGAAUAGCCGCGGCUAUUAUUCAGUGGCCGCGGCUUGCUUCGGACUUAUUAGAGUGCCGAUCCUUUCUUGCCCCGUAGUUCUCGAGCUAGAGAUGUUCAGCUCUCAAGAGUUGUACUGAUGGAUUAAUCACGUCCUACUAAGUCAGCAGAGCCACUUUUUAGAGCAAAACAGAUUCUGUGACAUCAUAAUACGACACGUGACGUCACUUUUGAUCAUGUGAGUUGUCCUACCUUAACAUAAUACAUUCACAGUUAUAGUCCUUAUACUUUAUUCCCUCCCCCCUUAGGAUUGGAGUCAGUAUGGUAUUGAUGAAGGAGAGUCAUGGGAUGGCAUGGUUGAAGUACCGGAGACAGAAGAGCUAAUAUCAACGUCACAAAGAGCGACACUCUAAACCAACCAGAUGAUGUCCCAUGUGAUAACUUAAACCCGGAAAUCCUUAUUAAUCAGUACUCUUCUGCAAGGCAGUUCAUUAAUUAAGGCAGUUCAUUAAUUUUUGUUUAUAAGUUUUUAAUUUGUAUAGCUUAAUUGUCGAAGACAAUAAUAAUUUAAUUAUAAUAUCCACGUCGGGUGAUCAUGAUGAGCAUAUUUAACCCUUUUUUGCGAAUUUCUAAUUCUGCGAUACUUAGGAAGUAGCUCGAACUACGCACAUCCCUGUAUAGAGGAAGAGCUGUAGAAUCACAUGCAAUUUAGUCUAGAAAUUUCCAAGCCACGUUGCUAUGAAAAUUUCAUUAGUAGGUUGUUUACUUGUGCCGAUGUACUUGAACAGCUUGAGGACAGCGAUGGCUCUGGUGAUGACAGUGCCUAUGAAGAUAGUAGGAUACCGGCUACCAGCUUUAUGCCAGACGCUGAUGGAACUGAGGAUAUGCAUAACAUGGACCUAGACGCUAGCGCUAUGGACCAGGACGGUGAAAGACCAGAAGAGGGCGACUCUAGUCUAGUAUAGUAUAGCUAGAAUAUCAGUAGUGUAGUCUUUAUGUGAGCUUGUAAAUUUCAUAGAUCGUUCACCGAGCCCCACCUUCUCUCAACAGUAUCAGGGGGUGGACCGUCUGAUGGAAGUGGGCCAACAAUGACGGAGAUGAACUUCCUGAUGACAAAAGUGUGUCAUCGGGUGAUGGACUUCGUCAGACACCAUACUGCUCUUUGCAGUUCUAAAGAGAUACCUGUGGCUGAUGGUUAUACAAUGUAUACCAGUACACCUUACAGGGGCGUACACAGGGUGGUGCUUAGGGUGCUCCAGCACCCCAUCCAGCACCCCCAUCCAGACUCAGAGAAGCUCAAGUAGAUAGUUCAACCAUCAGUGGCUGGGCUACACUUAACUGCAGCUAUCUACAGCUUAAUAGUGAUAGUUACAAUAACUUUAUUGGGGCGAGCGAAGCGAGUCCCUUCCUAGUGUCUGUGUGUGUGUGUGUGUGUGUGUGUGUGUGUGUCAUGUGUGUGUGUGUGUCAACGAUAUUUGUUUUUUGUACUCGUGACCCUUUACCAAAUUUUACGUGAAAGCUGCGCAUGGGCGCAAGAGCUAGCUAGCACAGAUGAGGCCACAAGGCACGCGAUUUCGAUAAAGAUGGACAAAGAUGGACACUAAGAAACAAGAAAGAAGGAAGGAGCGAGAGCGACAGGCAAGAGCGCAGGAAACUGCUGAGCAGAAGGAAACAAGGCUUGCUAAGCGCAGAGAAAGAUGCAGAGAAAGAUACAGGGCACGUAGGUAGGACUGAAGAAACUACACAAGCUCGACAGGCACAAAUGGAUGCCAAUAGAUCAACGCAGCCAAUAGAUCAACGCAGCAACUCAGACGAAACACAGAAAGUUGUGAGGUCAGGCAUGCACGCCUACAACAAAAUGCUGCUUCCACCCAAAGCAGCAGAGCCUCCGAGACUCCUGAGGUCAGGCAGGCACGCCUACAACAAAAUGCUGCUUCCACCCCCAAAGUAGCAGAGCCUCCGAGACUCCUGAGGUCAGGCAGGCACGCCUACAACAAAAUGUGACAGGCUCUGGCAUUUGGAGCAGACUAAAAUUUCGUUGAUUAAUGUACCAAGUGAUAGAGCAGAGCAUUGCCUACACAAUGAUAUGCUUAUUGUUCACAUACCUAGUUUCAUACCUGAGUUAUGCGUGUUAAACUUUAAGCCGUAAAAUAUAGUAUCGAGAAAAAGCCUCUCAAAGAUUGCUCAAUUAGGAAAAGUAAGGUAAUAGCGAAAGGUACUUUGAUGGAAAGAGUUGGAUUUAGAGCAUCAGAUUUUACAGAGAGGUAGUAUAGGGACUUAUACAGCAAUAAAAUUUUAUUUGAGAUUUUACACUGUAGGCACAAAUUUAGCUAUAGCUCAAAACCAAAUUCUGCUCCAAAUGUCAGGUUUUCCUAGAGCCUGUCACAAAUUCUGCUUCCACCCAAAGCAGCAGAGCCUCCGGUAACUGAUACAACCAAAACGUUAGCUUGUUCAUAAUUAUUGUUCAUUACAGUAUUGUUCAUUACAGAGACUCCUGAGGUCAGGCAACAACAAAAUGCUGCUUCCACCCAAAGCAGCAGAGCCUCCGGUAACUGAUACAACCAAAACAACGGGCAUGUUGUCCGAUUUGAAUUCAAGUGUGGAAAAUGUGGAAAGCGACAGUGGUGGGCUAGCUCGCGAACACUCGGUGGACGAUACCUUGUCAAUCAAAAGAUCGUCCAUGGUUUUACUUGUGCUGGAGUUCUCCCAAGCCAGUCAUGCUGGCUUGGGAAAAGUUAGUUCAUGGUAUAUUUCGUCAAGUAAGUGUACAUGUGUGUUAUAACUGUCUCUUACAAAACACUGUGAGUACAAGAAAGGUGGAUACUUAGACGUCGUGAACGCUUGCGCCAAGGCAUCCAUGUUGAGAGCGAUUGACGAAGUGAAGGGUUACUCGCAGGACGGUGAGGUAAUUAAUUCUUAUGUGCUAGUUUUGUUUUUGUUUUUGUUUUUCAGUAAUGAAUAGUGGGUAAUAACAGAUGCUCGCCACGACUCAACAGCAAAUGCUUAUCACACGACUGUUCCCUGCCUCUCUGGAAGCACGAAAAGAAUUGUUGGGUGUUCGACUGUUUCCAGGAAAGAACACAUCUGUGCUCAGACUCGAGAAGUAGCGUGUACUAAGAUAGUUCUUCCGGAAGUCAUAGAUAAAGGCACUAAGAAGAAUAUGAAGAAAGGGACCAAAAGGCUCAAGGAAAGACAUGGUUAUCUGACAAACGUAAGCUUUGAUUAUAAAAGUGCUCAGUAACAGCUUUUCAAUAUUACAGAACGUUUUUUUAGAAACAUCCUGUGUUGUUCAAUUUAUACACUUUUUUUGCUGUGACACACCCAGUUCAGUUUAGAAAAAUCUAGACCAUAUAUGGAUCAAAACUCUUUGUAAUGUUUUUAACAUGACAUCAUGGUUUAACUAUGCUAAAUAUAGUAAAUAUAGGCCCUCUCCUGCACGUGGAACUCCAGAUCGAACGUUUUAGCGCUUACCCUCUCAGUAAUGGCGCGCUUAAAUGAAAGCCAUGCCCCCAAAUGAUGUCUUGCGUUUUCUGGAUAGGCUACGUGCAUGUUGAGAAAGGAUGGUGGCUCUUAGAAGAACCGGUUUGUUUGUAUCGUAGCCGAGAGAAGAAACUAUCAGCAUUGGGACUACAGGCAGCGCUGACAGUUGGUGGUGAGCUGCUAAUCCAGAGCUUCUGAAAACCUGUCUGGGUUGCCACUGUUUGCCGAAAGGGUCACUAAACCCUUGUAGCUCAGGCCAAGUUGAUCUGCCUGGGCUACAGCGAUGCUAGGCUUCCCAAGAGCUCUGAUGAGUGUGUCACACCGAAGAUGAGACUGCUCCACAGUUCCAGCUGUUUUUUGGCUGACCGACUGCUGGCCAGCAAAGGCCAUGUCAUGAAAGAAAAAAUUACCUUCAAGAGAGGUUCCAAUGGUGUGAAGAUAGAGAGCCUCGAUUCCUAGCUUAGUACUCCAUCCUUCUUCAUCUGUACAAUUGUAUUGUAUGUAGUGCACACCUGGCGUAAAAGAGGGAGAGUAUCGCUGAAGUGGACGUUAGCAGCACACAGGUGGACAGACUCUCCAGACGGCGCUCAACCUCAGCCAAAAGCAUUGGGAAGUCAAAGGAAAAUCCAUUGUGUGCCACGAGAACUCUGGUGGUAUGCGGCGGGAUGUUGCAACAAGGCUCGUGAAGGUCGGUGAGUCUACAGGGACAGGAGGAGACACGGCUACGUCAGUGAUAUGAUCAGAAGAGGAUUUGCGUUUUCACUGCUAACCCCUUCGUCAUUCUCCACCUGGUCAUCAAGUUCCGGUUUAACAAAAUAAGAGCCAGUCCGUGAAACCCGUUAACCUCCCACCCUCCCACGUUCGGAUACAUAAUCCUGGGGAUAUGCAGCCAUCUCGUCAAGUAGCUUCUUGAAGCCCUCCACCUGAGCUUGACAAGUGAACCUGUGCCUGCUCUUAUAUGGACUACCAUCCUCCAUCAGCUAAUAGGAAAUAUUCUUGUCGUGAGUGCACCAGGGAGAGGUAUGGAUGUCUAGGCAAGUAGUGAUGAUGGAAGUUGACCAGAGCCUCCGAAAAGCGGACGAAUGCCACCCUGGAUUUUAUCAGAAGCAAUCAGGUUGCUCAGUGCUGCCUUGCAACAGCUCAGGAAGGAGUCUGUCAUCCGCUUACACCUAAAGCCGGUUACUUAAAGUUUUGGCGCAUUGGUUCGAACAGUAUGUGAUUGUUCCUUCUGGGAAGUGACGGCAGUAGAUACUGUUCAUUGAAGAAUGCUUCAUUGAAGAAUGCUUAUCUGUGAUCACUUCUCGGAGGAUAAAGCCAGCAGCCUUGACCUUGCCCAGAAUCUCGUUGAACAUAUCAGCUUCAGCACCUCCUGACGUACCCUCCCAGUUGUGUCCUGGACCACGUUUCGUCCGGACCACUCUGCUACGUGAACUUCAAGUUUAGUAACUAUUCUGUGCCACUGAGUACUGCAACAGGAUGGGAGACCCAAAGAACCACACAAUCUAAGGAACAGCUGGAGUUGUGGAUGUGGAAAGUACCCACCGGUUGAAGAGACACACUCCCCGAAUGAUGCUCUCAGAGUCUAGAGAAUGCUGUGCUGCUUCAGAAAGACGUGAGCUAUUGGCUCAGGAAACUGGACGCUCUUGUUAUCGGUACUUACUUCCGCUGUCUGCACGCCGUGGCAGACAAGCUCAUGCUCUGUUUGCACCCCAACACUUGGCAUGCUGAACGUAUUGUUAUCAUCUAUGCAUUUACAUAAUUAUGAUUUUAUUUGUUUAUUGUUGUAUUUAUAUGGACUGUUACCUUCUGA